CCUACGGGAGGCAGCAGUAGGGAAUCUUUCACAAUGGGCGAAAGCCUGAUGGAGCAACGCCGCGUGCAGGAUGAAGGCCUUCGGGUUGUAAACUGCUUUUAUAAGCGAGAAAUAUGAUGGUAACUUAUGAAUAAGGAUCGGCUAAAUACGUGCCAGCAGCCGCGGUCAUACGUAGGAUCCGAGCAUUAUCCGGAGUGACUGGGUGUAAAGAGUUGCGUAGGUGGCAUAAUAAGUAGCUAGUGAAAUUUGGUGGCUCAACCAUUCAGACUAUUAGCGAAACUGUUAAGCUCGAGACCGUGAGGGGUAACUGGAAUUUCGAGUGUAGGGGUGAAAUCCGUAGAUAUUAGAAGGAACACCAAUAGCGUAGGCAGGAUGCUGGAACGGUUCUGACGCUAAGGCACGAAAGCGUAGGGAGCAAACGGGAUUAGAUACCCCAGUAGUC
rnacentral:rRNA from 1 species